GCCGGGUGUGGUGGCUCACACCUGUAAUCCCAGCACUUUGGGAGGCUGAGGCGGGUGGAUCACCUGAGGUCGGGAGUUUGAGACCAGCCUGGCCAACAUGGUGAAACCCCGUCUCUA
rnacentral:SRP_RNA from 1 species